rnacentral:rRNA from 1 species
UACGUAGGGUGCGAGCGUUGUCCGGAAUUAUUGGGCGUAAAGAGCUCGUAGGCGGCUUGUCGCGUCGGAUGUGAAAGCCCGGGGCUUAACUUCGGGUCUGCAUUCGAUACGGGCAGGCUAGAGUUCGGUAGGGGAGACUGGAAUUCCUGGUGUAGCGGUGGAAUGCGCAGAUAUCAGGAGGAACACCGGUGGCGAAGGCGGGUCUCUGGGCCGUAACUGACGCUGAGGAGCGAAAGCCAGGGGAGCAAACGGG